CCUAGCCUUGCCCACAGGGGAGCCAGAGCAGCAGGCUGUUAGGCCUGGGGAGUGGAGGUCAGGGCUUCAGAGAACCAGGGCAGUGGGCCCUCCCUCCACUCGUCUCCAUUCCUGAGCUGUUUCAGUCAGGACUGAGGGUGAGCAAAGCAGUCUGGGCAGGGAGCCUCAUUGUCCCGACCUCUCCUGACUUGAACUCUCCUUCACCCUGGGACUCUGCAGCCCAGUCCUCCCGGUGACUGGCAGUCCCUCUCUUCCUCCUGCUGGCUAGUGGUAACACACACACACACACACACACACACGCCGCCCUGAUUGAAGGUGCAGCCUGGUGUCUCCCUGAUGAGAGGCUCCUAUCUCUUCCUACGUCCUGUCCUGGGUAGUACAGGUUCGCACCGUCACUUUUCCAGGAGGAGAUGGAGGGAUGAGACAGGCAAAACUCAGGCUGCUGUUGGGCUGCGAGUGUGUUUUUAACUUGCACCAGAAUAUAGAGAUACCCAUGUACUCUGGCCACGUCCCCAGUGCUCACAUGUCAUGGAAAGAUGAUGCCACAUCAAGACCAGGACUCUGGCACGCGCACAGUGAACUCCGCUCCAUUGCUGUACUCUGCAGCCACCGUCGAGAUGAGAGCUGCUCCACCCGCACCGUCACCCCCACACCUGUCCCCCAUUCCUAACCCACUGCAGCCCCUCAUCUCUUCCACGUCUCUAGGACUAGGAUCCUACAGUAUGUGACUUCGUGCUUUCUUUUUUUUUUUAAUUUCUGUUACUGCGGAUUGGACCCACGGGCACUUUACCACUGAGCCACAUCCCCAGCCCUUUUUAUUUUUCUAUUUUGAGACAGGGUAUAAGUUGCUUAGGGUCUUGCUUAAGCUGAAGCUUAGCCUCAAACUUGGGAUCCUCCUGCCUUAGCCUCCUAAGUCAUUGGGAUCACAGGUGUGUGCUACUGUGCCCAGUUGUAAUUUGUGUGUGUGUGUGUGUGGU
rnacentral:lncRNA from 1 species